rnacentral:rRNA from 1 species
GAUCUGGCUCAGAUUGAACGCUGGCGGCAGGCCUAACACAUGCAAGUCGAACGGUAACAGGAAGCAGCUUGCUGCUUCGCUGACGAGUGGCGGACGGGUGAGUAAUGUCUGGGAAACUGCCUGAUGGAGGGGGAUAACUACUGGAAACGGUAGCUAAUACCGCAUAACGUCGCAAGACCAAAGAGGGGGACCUUCGGGCCGUCUUGCCAUCGGAUGUGCCCAGAGUGGGAUUAGCUAGUAGGG